UACGUAGGGCGCAAGCGUUGUCCGGAAUCACUGGGCGUAAAGGGCGCGUAGGCGGCUCAUGAAGGCUGUGGUGAAAGUCCGGGGCUCAACCUCGGAUCGGCCGUGGCGACUCGUGGGCUGGAGCACUGUAGAGGCGGGUGGAAUUCCGGGUGUAGCGGUGGAAUGCGUAGAGAUCCGGAAGAACACCAGUGGCGAAGGCGGCCCGCUGGGCAGUGGCUGACGCUGAGGCGCGACAGCGUGGGGAGCAAACAGG
rnacentral:rRNA from 1 species